rnacentral:lncRNA from 1 species
CCCUGUCCCAGGUUAAGCCCGCAGGUCACCAUGGAAAUUGAUGCAUUCCUCGUCUUGCUGGGGUGGCAAGCAGCUCUAUUGCGAGAUCUUCAUAACUUGCUGCAGGACUGUAACUCGUCUCAUCACACCUGAGACAGAGAUCUUGUAUUCAGAUGACCUUUUAUUUCCUCAAAUUAAAGGAGAAAAAAAGCAACAGACAUGGAGUAAACAGGUGAAAGAACAUGGUUUGACCUUAAGGGUAGAGCAUGAGUGACAUGAAAGGAGGAAGGAAUGACUCACACGGGCAUGAAGAUGGAUGAGUUUGCUACUGGUUUAAUAUUACCUGUGCAGCCCUAACGCAGGCAUAGGACAGACCUCCAUGUAUCAUAUCAACUUCACAGACUGCUGGAAAAACUGAUGCUGACUUUCAGAAAGGUUCUGGAUUCCGUGAGAACAUGACUAGGCCAUGUGGGACUGGCAGAAGGAGCCAGGCCAUGUGGGCUGCCAAAACGUUGGAAGCACCAAACUUCGUUUUCUGUUUUCAGGAGCUGCAUCUGCUAAAGCCUUCCCUUGUGACCUUGACCUUAGACUACAUCUGAACUUUGAGACCCAGGAAGACUGCAGGAUUUUUAGCUUACAUGUUGGAUAUGGUCAUGUCUUAGCUCCAUAUCUGGUUUAGUCCUUGGUGUGAUAUGUUCUCCUACCAGUUCCAAUUUCCAAAAACUGGAGGACAGGUCUAGCCACACUGUGGAUUAACAGAUCACUUUGGUGGCAGCCUAAAUCAGCUUUUUUUUGUUUUGGUUCUCAAUAGAAAAAAUAAAAAUACAAAAUAGAAAUGAUAAUUUUUAACU